rnacentral:lncRNA from 10 species
GGCCGGGCUAGCGGGCUACUGGGCUGCGGAGACCAGAGCCCGGCUCCACUGAAGAAACCCGCCGGCUGCUGGGGCAGGGCGGCGAAAGGUCAGUCGGCCGAGAGGAGUCCGUGGAGCCACCGUUUCAUAGCCUCAGGGAAAGGAUCGGGCGUGCUCACGAGCCCUCUAACCCAUGGCUUAAACACCCGCUUCCUAAGCCUGGUUCCUGAAUAUAUCACAUGUGGUGAUAAACAUGAAGAUGUAUGAAAAAUUGUGUUCGUUGAGAGAAAAUGGAAGGCUUUUCAUUCUACUUCCACAUUUUCAUUCCAGCAGCUUUUCUGUUUUGGAAGAUGAGUACUGAAUCUUGCAAUGAAAUUUUUUUAACUUAAACAAGACAAGGAAAAUGAAGCGCAGAGACGUUAAAUAACUCUCUCAAGGUCAUGCAGCUGAGAAGAGAUGAGACUUGAACUCCAGUGCCAGCCCUGUUAAUCACUAUUCUGUACUGUCUUUCAGGUUCUUAUGCCUUUGUUUGAAAAACAUGGUUCCCUGUGAAAUUUUACAUGUAGAAGAAAGCUUCACACUACGAGAGCUCUCAGGAUAUAAUUAUUUCAGACAGAUACUGGGAACAUAAGAUGGCUUAUCAAUCUAAGAUGGCCUUCCUGUCCUUCGGAUUGAACUGAAACCAUCCCUGAUUCCAGGGAUAGGUAGAUGAUCCAGGUUUGGACAAUCAAAAUAUUGAACCACCCUGGACCUACAAGUGUUUCUGGGAUGGGAACAUGCAAACGUUGGUCCAAAUUGUUGUUCUAGGCAGCCCAGUACAUUUCUCCAAUGCCUGAUGGAAUGAUAGGGUAUGCAUAAAUGUUCAUGUGGGCUCUGGAGUAUACCAGGAACUGAAGUAAGGUACAUGGACGUCUUGAAUAUUGUAACUGAGAUGGGCAAGCCUACACCUUUGCAAAUAAAGGAGGAUUGGGAAAGAUUAAGCCUCUCAAGCACUGUGAAAAAUCACUUUCUCUUGUUGUAUUCUUGGAGCCCCUGCUAAUUCAUUAUUGAAAAAUACCUGCUGCCUGCAUUUGGCCUUAUGUUGUCAUUUACUUGGUACUUCCUAAGCGUGGCUACUCCAAUGAAGCUUUAGUAUAUGUACUGAAAGAAGAUCCUCUCAUACUGCCACAGCCAAGAGAUAAGGUUGUAAAUCUUUAUUGGGAGAAGCCGUCAAGGACAGUUCUGUGAAAUGAAAGGAUCUCUGGAUCACCACAAAGUCUGGCUCAGUGACUAUGGCUUUGCAAACACUAAACAUUCCUGUCUCAAGUCCUGUAGAUGGCUUGAAAUAGUAUACAUAAGCAUGCCUUAUAAACAUCUUCAGUCUUUAUCAACUCUUUGGAGAUUCAGCCAUUCUUUUUUGUACUUUAGGGAAUUAAAUCAUUUUAUAAUGUAUAAAUCUGAGCAUGGCCGAUGGCAGAAGAAAUUUUGUCAUACGUUUUUAAAGAAAUAAAAAUGUAUUAUGUUUUAAAAUUCCUUUAACUGUUUUUCUUACAAAAU